rnacentral:misc_RNA from 1 species
AGGAGUCUAACAUGUAUGCGAGUAGGCGGGUGUAAAACCCUACUGCGCAAUGAAAGUAAUAGGUGGGAUCCGCAAGGUGCACCAUCGACCGAUCAUGCUUCCUCUCGAGAAAGAUUUGAGUUAGAGCAUAAAUGUUAGGACCCGAAAGAUGGUGAACUAUGCCUGAGUAGGGCGAAGCCAGGGGAAACUCUGAUGGAGGCUCGAAGCGAUUCUGACGUGCAAAUCGAUCGUCAAAUUUGGGUAUAGGGGCGAAAGACUAAUCGAACCAUCUAGUAGCUGGUUCCCUC